AACGAACGCUGGCGGCAUGCCUAACACAUGCAAGUCGAACGAGACCUUCGGGUCUAGUUGCGCACGGGUGCGUACCACGUGGGAAGCUGCACUUAGGUUCGGAAUAACUCCCCUAAGGAGGAGCUAAUACCAGAGAAGGUCUUCGGACCAAAGAUUUAUCGCCUUUGGAUGGGGCCGCGUUGGAUUAGCUGGUUGGUAGGGUAAAAGCAUACCAUGGCGACGAUGCAUAGCUGGUGGGAGAGGAGGACCAGCCACGCUGGGAAUGAGACACGGCCCAGACUCCUACGGGAGGGAGCAGUGGGGAAUAUUGGAGGAUGGGCGAAAGCCUGAUCCAGCAAUGCCGGGUGAGUGAUGAAGGCCUUAGGGUUGCACAGCUCUUUGACCCGGGAUGAUAAUGACAGUACCGGGUGAAUAAGCACCGGCUAACUACGUG
rnacentral:rRNA from 1 species